rnacentral:lncRNA from 1 species
AUCCCAAAACCGCGACUGUUCUUCUUCUUUGAAGAACACGCGAGUCAAGCCUCAAAUCCGUCCCAAUAAAUCGUCAAAAUUCACGCGAGUGAGCAUCAAUCCCUAACCCACGCGUCCCUCUACAUAUCCUCUUGUUGUUGCUAACGGAUUUUCUGAUGCCAAGAUUCGCUUCAGUUCACUCGCUCGAUUUUGAGAGGAGGCAUGCGAUUGGAAGGUCCUAGAGAUGAUUCAUUGGAUGAAUGUGAGGCAUUGGAUUGAUUUCGCUCAAUCCGAGCCCCACAUUCAUCAGGGGUUCGUUUCAUAAAAGGACUGAAUCCGAUUUUCGAGAAGGAAAAAAUCUGGGGAACUUUUUGGGGGCUGAAAGUUCUUUUUGUGUCGAGUGCUGAACCCUGGUGCUAGUUCCAAAUUUCUCUUCGGAUUUCAUGAUUUCUGCUCAAUAUUGAUGUUGUUGUUUUGAUCUCCGCUGCUGGAUCCCCUUGUAUUAACGGUCAAUCAAAGGUGUUUGCCGAUUCAGGUUCAUCUUUAAUCCUUCUGUUGUUUUACUUUCGGGUGUUAUCAAAGAAUUGUAAGAACCAUAACCAUGUAAAGUAUUAAAGUGGGUUUAGUCCCAAGUCGUUCUAGUACUAGUUUUUUUUAUUCACGUCAUGAUACAAGUUUGCUAUGGAAUUUCAGAGUUUGCUCCUUUGUUGUUGUAA